UACGUAGGGUGCGAGCGUUAAUCGGAAUUACUGGGCGUAAAGCGUGCGCAGGCGGUUCGUUGUGUCGGCGGUGAAAGCCCCGGGCUUAACCUGGGAACGGCCGUUGAAACUGGCGAACUGGAGUGUGGCAGAGGGGGGUGGAAUUCCGCGUGUAGCAGUGAAAUGCGUAGAGAUGCGGAGGAACACCGGUGGCGAAGGCGGCAUCCUGGACCGGCAUUGACGCUGAGGCGCGAAAGCUAGGGGAGCAAACGGG
rnacentral:rRNA from 1 species